rnacentral:rRNA from 1 species
AGUGAACGCUGGCGGUAGGCCUAACACAUGCAAGUCGAACGGCAGCACAGUAAGAGCUUGCUCUUACGGGUGGCGAGUGGCGGACGGGUGAGGAAUACAUCGGAAUCUACUUUUUCGUGGGGGAUAACGUAGGGAAACUUACGCUAAUACCGCAUACGACCUACGGGUGAAAGCAGGGGAUCUUCGGACCUUGCGCGAUUGAAUGAGCCGAUGUCGGAUUAGCUAGUUGGCGGGGUAAAGGCCCACCAAGGCGACGAUCCGUAGCUGGUCUGAGAGGAUGAUCUGCCACACUGGAACUGAGACACGGUCCAGACUCCUACGGGAGGCAGCAGUGGGGAAUAUUGGACAAUGGGCGCAAGCCUGAUCCAGCCAUACCGCGUGGGUGAAGAAGGCCUUCGGGUUGUAAAGCCCUUUUGUUGGGAAAGAAAAGCAGCAGGUUAAUACCCCGCUGUUCUGACGGUACCCAAAGAAUAAGUACCGGCUAACUUCGUG